CACGUAGGGCGCAAGCGUUGUCCGGAAUUAUUGGGCGUAAAGAGCUCGUAGGCGGACUGUUGCGUCCGCUGUGAAAAGCUGGGGCUUAACCCUGGCCUUGCAGUGGAUACGGGCAGACUAGAGGUAGGUAGGGGAGAAUGGAAUUCCCGGUGUAGCGGUGAAAUGCGCAGAUAUCGGGAGGAACACCCGUAGCGAAGGCGGCACUCUGGGCCGGUACUGACGCUGAGGAGCGAAAGCGUGGGGAGCAAACAGG
rnacentral:rRNA from 1 species